CCCUGCGCCUGCAGUAUAGGCGCCCCAAUACCCCGUGCUCCGGGAUCGGGUCCUCCUCCCUGUCUAGAGCCGGUCCUCACCGUGGGGCGGGCUGAGCCGGGUGCGGAGAGCCGAAGCGUCCGGCGCAAGUGGGGCCUUAGCCCGAGUAUGCUCGUGAGGAGAAACGAAACCCGACGCUGCCCAUCCGCCUGAAACUUUUUAAACUUGAAGACCGGAGUUUCCUCUUGCUUCAUUUUCCAAAUGUGAUUUAAAAUGAUGUAGUUAGAAAGUUGCGUGGAAAUCUGCAUAAACUCCCUGUGGGAAAUGUGAAAGUUGUGGAGCACGCUCCAAACAAUUCAACACUUUGAAAAAUGCCAGAUGAUGCAGAUUCAAAAUGCAGUUACCUUUUGUGUGAAGACGAGCUAAUGUAAUCAACUUUGUCUGUGGACCAUCAUUGGAGAAUACUGAAUGGAAACCAGUGUGUGCUGGAUCUGGAUCAGUGGAUUUGGCAAUGGUCAAAUGCCGGUCUUCCGAUGUUCUUGUGGACAGACUUGUAUACAGAACUGCUUAUGUAAAAAUGCAUCUAGUUAACAGUGACCACCAGAGAAGUGCUGUGGUAGACAUGGGCUUCAUGUCAUGUUGGCUUCCUGUUUAAAAAACAGUAGGCUGGCAGUUUUAAAGGGACAGUGACAAAGUGAUGACCAGGUGCCAAGUGCCAGCUGUCCUUAUUCACCAGAUUGAACAAGAAUUGGAUAAAGAAGAAGAAGAGAUGAUGGUUUUCCUUUGCCGAGACCUUGCUCCUGACUUGGCCACUGCUGACCUUAGAGAGCUCUUGGUGGCUUUGAAUGAGAGGGAGAAACUGUCUUUUCUUGGCUUGUCUGAGCUGUUGUACAGAGUUAAGAGAUUUGACUUGCUGAGGAGGAUCUUGAAGAUUGAGAAAGCAACAGUGGAAGCUAACCUUGCCAGGAGUCUCAGACUUGUCCCUGAUUACAGGGUACUAAUGGUAGAGAUUAAUGAGAAUCUGGAAAAAGAAGAAGUGGGUUCUCUUGUUUUUCUACUCAGAGAUUACGCACCUCGUAUGAAAAUGGUGAAAGAUAAGAGUUUUCUAGCUCUUGUGAUUGACCUGGAGAAACUCAAUUUGGUGGCUCCUAAUCAACUGGAUUUGAUAGAAAAUUGUUUUCGAAAUAUUCACAGGAUAGACCUGAUUAGGAAGAUUCAGAAGUACAAACACGAAGCUUUAAUGUCCUCCGUUCAUUCUCAGCCAGUAUAUGUAAAUGCACUUCAGGCAUCUCUCCCUAAUCUCAGUCUGAUUGAUCCUCCUUAUAAUUCAGGGAUCCAGAAUGUGAACAAAGAAAAAUCACAAAAUGGACAAAGUCUUAUUCUAGCAGAACCAGUCCACAUGUCCAUUCAGGAAUCUGGACCAGUGUCACAUAAGGUGUUUGAUGAUCAGUACAGAAUGCAAAGUCAACCUUUAGGAAUAUGCCUGAUAAUAGACUGUAUUGGCAAUGACACAGAUGUGUUGGAAGAGACCUUCAGAGGCUUGGGCUAUGACGUUCAUUGUCACAGAUAUUUAAAUAUGAACACCAUGAAUCAAACAUUACUUGAAGUUGCAAGGUUGCAGAAGCACAGAAAUUUUGACAGCUUCAUUUGCAUAUUGGUCAGCCGUGGAAGUCCUCAAAGCAUCUUCUGUACAGACCAUACCUUUUCUGGAUUCCCUUUAGAACAAAUAAAGAAAUACUUUACAGCAGACUCAUGUCCUGAACUCCUAGGAAAACCGAAGCUUUUUUUUAUUCAAAGCUACAUUGUGCCAGAAAGUGAGCAAGAAUGUACUAGUCUGUUGGAAGUAGAUGGGAAUGAUGAGAAAAUUACUGCUAAUGCAAAAAUUCAUUGGAAAAUCACUAUCCCCCAGGUAGCAGAUAUCUUCUGGAGUCAGUGCAAGGUGGAUGUGUCUACACUAGAAAAAUCUCCGAGUUCAUCCUCAUAUUAUCUGCGUUGUCUGGCUGAGCUACUCCGCAAUCCUCAUAAAAGGAAACUCUCUAUAUUAGAUAUCCAUACGGAACUGAACAGAAAAGUCUAUGAAUGGAAUAAGACCACUGACCCAAGCCAACAGUACUCACUUCUGCUUCAGCACACACUAAGGAAGAAACUUUUUCUUUCUCCCACUUAACUGGUGUUGAAAAGGACAUGUCUGAAGUGGCUAAUGAGAAACACUUACUAUGAUAGUUUCACACAUACUUUUAUUUUAUGCAUUGUUAUUGCAUGUAUAUCUAAAGUGCCUAUUGCUUCCAAACCCAGCAUUUUGGUGUGUUAAGGCACUAGAUUUUACAUUUUAAUACAGAAGGCUCUGAAAGCUUGGAUGAGAAUGGCAGCUAUCGUAUAGCACUGCAACAGAUCUUACAACCAAGUACAACAGCUUUUGCAUGUGAUGAGCACUUCUGCUGCCUUAUAGACAACCAAAAGCAGGGAGAAUGGAACCAAGAGGAGGCAGAGAGAUGAGGGAAAGAAAGACGGAAAUUUCAAACAGGAACAAGAAGGGGAAUGGUAGGGAGAACCAAGAGAAGAACAAGUAGGGGAAAGAAGAUUUGGAGGAGAAAUACAGCAUCAAUAUUGGAAGGAGAAAGAAGAAAACAGGAGAAAAGGGAGAAAGGAAGUAAGAAUAAUAGUGGCUAUCCUUACAGGAUCUAAUGAUGUGGUAGAUUUUUGUGGGUUGGUUGUUUUGGGUUUUUUUCAGUAACGCUAAAUACAACUAUUUACUUAAAAUAUUAGGAAUAGAAUGUAUUCUUUUUUUGAUAGUUUUGUGACAAUGUAGGUUUGGUUUGGGGGUUAUGACGUGUACGUUUUCUUCACCUUAAUGUAUGACACAGUAAGUAAAGUCCAUGUCCCCUUCCUUAAGAAAUUACAAAGAAACACUGUUUUGAAAACUGUAGAGGCUCCUGUAAAUACCUCUUGCAGUGAAAAAGGAAGAGAGUGUCUUUGUGUCUGGCUGCUUGGGUCGGAAGUGAUGACAGCCCUCUAAUGACCAAAGAAUUGUGGGGACAUUUAAUAUAUUGUGCAGCAUUCAUGGAUGUCAGAUACUGAUUUUCCACACUGAUGUCUUGACCCUCCAUAGAUUCUUAAACCAGAGCAGUAUUCAUUUUGUAAUCAUUCAUCUAAGCAGUAUUUACUGCCUUGACACCUCUUUCAAGAGUGGCACGUGGGUAGAUUGAUUGCCUGUACUCACUGCAUGGUGAAAAGCGGCACUGAAGUCAGAAUUUAUUAACAUGCAGGAGUUUUGUGAUGCCAGAAGUUGUCUGUCGCUUCUCCCAUAGCUUUUUGUGUCCCUCUGUACAUGUGAUAGGGACUGUCUGUUGCUGCUGUACUAUGCACCUAAAAUUUGAGUCUGGAAAGUGACUGGAUGCACGGCGUGGGCUGCAUCAAAUUGUACAUGUAUUGCAGAUAGAGUGGUUGAAUGAUGUCAAACUUCCAUAGAGUAGCCAAAAGAAAAGAGGGAAAAGAAUUAAUUCUGGAUUCAUCAUGAGUUUAGGGUGUUAGCACAGGAACAUAAAAAGUGACAUGCUGGUGAAAUUUCAUGGUCACGGACUGCCAAAAUGUCUAGUUUUCAGAACCUGCUGUUGAACAAGAUAAAACAAGCCGCUCUUCUCUGCUCCUGUGUUGUCAGUGCUUGGAACAACGCUGUCAGACUCACUGCACCAUGGCACUGAAUUUCAGUUUUGCUUUCCAAUAACUGAAAUAGAAAUUACUUGUACUUUUGUGUGUGCUGUAUAUAUGGAAGAGGGAAAGGAGAACUGGCAGAAUAUAGAUGAUGCCUUUCAGUGGCUCGGAAGGCAUACCCAUGAGGCAGGAGAUGGUGGUGUUUUGCACCAGACUUAAGUUGCAUGAUUUUUCUCAGCCACCUACAUUGACAUGACUGAGUCAUAAAUCCAGUUUACUUUGCACUGUUGCAUACUUGUGUCUUACAAUGAUUGCCAACUCCUUAUCCAGAAAAGAAGUUACAUUCAAGAGGAACUUACAGUGCUAACAGUUGUAAAUGAGCAUGCCGUAUGUCUGAUCUCCCCUUUCAACUCUGUGUAAGAAGUAACAGUGACUCCUGUUCCUGUUACAGGUACCUGAGUCAGAGAAGCUUUUUAUGACAGUUUCUGAGAGUUGUUUUCUGAUAUCCAGAGUUUUUUAUUUCUGACAUGCAGGAUGAUGUUGCUGAGAAGAAGCUGCCAUCUGCGUGGAUGAUCUGCUCUGUAUCUGUGUUCCACUUAAAACUGUAUCUCCUGUACUGAAUUAUUUGACAGCUUUUCUGUGGCUGUUUUGGAGAAUGUCUUUUUUUUUCAGCUUCUGUAUUAGAAGCAAUAAGACAUUGCAAGUCUUUUCAGAAUUCUAGUUUUGUGGAUUGUGUCUUCCUGUACAUGCCAUAUUUUAAAAUUUGUGUUACUCUGAGAGUGUGUUGUUAGUGUUUUGUAGAAACAUGGUAAGAAAUGUGAUUUGAAUUGGUGCCAUCACUAAAAUAGCAUCAUUAUUUAGUAAAAUUGGUGCUGUUACUACUACUACUAAAUUACUAUUACUGCUAAAUUCUAAAUGCUAGAUUUCAAGCUGAUUUUCUGAAGAAAAUAUCUGCAUGCAGUCCGAUUAAUUGUCC